UGUAGCUUAUACCCAUUAUAUCUCACAGUUACAACAAAGUGGGUUGCUUAAAGGGGAUGAUCACACGGAUCACUUUUUCUGAAUCCUCAUGGAAAUUUCUGUAGCAAAUUGUUUGGCCACUGACAUGAUUAAUCCAAGCUCAUUGUCCCUACAAACGCCACAACAAGUCCAGCAUCUCUCAUUUGCUGUUAUUGAUAUGUAUGCAAAGCUUGUGGUUUUAGUUAUUAAGUUUGGGUAUCUAUGAACAGUAUCAGGAGCAAUGGGAUGAUCUGUUGCAACCCCAUGUG